rnacentral:lncRNA from 1 species
UGGCCACAGCAGUGUGAUUGAUAGAAAAAAAAUUUCAUAAAAAAUAUAAUUAGACUUAAGCUGAUCGAAUCUAUUAUAUGAUUGAUAUUGAGAUUUGAUGAUUUAUCCAUAAUCUACUAUCUAGUCGGAACUCAUGAUAGAGAGACUGAAUCACAUAUUAACUACACCUAGAGGUUCAUUUUGAUUCUACUGGAUUACCACUAUAUACCGCUAGGUGUCACUGGUAG